rnacentral:lncRNA from 1 species
CCCAUUGCCCCAAAAUUAACCCUUAGCCCAACACCCCUACCCUUUAAUUAAACCCUAGACAUCUACAUAUAAGGACCUAGCAGCUAAAAAUAAAGGGAGGAGAUAUAGACCUACGCCUAAAAAAAAUACAUAAUCGCAUCCGCCGUUUUUCCAGGGAGCUUGGACGCAAACAGAUCUAGACAAAAAAAGAAGCUGCUACUUCUUCUUCUUAAAAACAAAAAUUAGACCUAAUACUAAGGAGCUUCAGCCGCUAGAACACUAAGGAAGCCCACCCCCCACGUAGCUUCUCCAUCGUCUUCUUCAUGGAGACAGCAAGAAAACUCCAUUGAAGCUCCCCGCCAUCGCUGACCAGCGACAACCAACAAGCAGCUGCUACUGCUUCUUUAACUCACUCACGACUGCCACAACAACCAAAACGUAGCCUUCUCUCUCAUUUUUUCUGUCGCUCCUCCGUCACCGGCGAGGUUCCUAUGCUAUCGAGGUCGUGUUCGAAUUCCGUCGUGGAUCCCAGUCGGAUUUGUUAUAGGUCCUUCAAAGGAGGUUCUUCUUAUAUAAUCUAAAGAUUUGUUAUUAAAGUCAUCUUAUUCCUUACUUAUUCAAUAUUGUUACAUGUUUGUUUUGUUUUGAUGUUUAAGUAUUUCAAGCUAGAUUCGUUUAUGUGUUCUUUAUUACUUUAAAUUUGUUUAUUGAUAUUUUGGUAGUUUCAGAAGUGGGAAUUUUGGUCCUACAUACACAUGCUGAGUCCAAGAGUAUAGUCCUUUUAAGUUUGAUUUAAAUUUCAAUAUAUUAAUAGCAAAAACAAGACCAAAUGAUCUGAAGUCCCACCGAAAGAAGUUUGAUAAUAUAAGAAAAUGCGUGUUAAAGGGACGAGCUCCUUAUCUUAGAAAAAUUGAUCUAAAAUGUAUAAGGGAUAUUUAGAACUACUUAAGGCGUUGGAAAACAUGUUCAAACUCAACAUAGGUGAAUACUCAGAAAGGAAAGGGUAUAAAGGGUCAGAAUUUGCACCUGCUUACGAAGUUAAAGAUGGUGACUUAAUGCUUGUUGGUGAUGUUCCAUGUGAUGAAAAUCUCUUCAUUUUUGGUUGUGAUUUUUUUUGUACAAUUAUAAACUGUAACUUCGUUCAAUUAGUCAGGUGCAUAAGUGAUAAAUGAAGUUCUACGUCAUUUCUCAUCAAAUGUUUCUACAAAGAAGAUCAUUUCGGACCUUUAGCUCUUUCGGUUCACUUUUCUUUGUGUGAUAGGCAGGACUAGAUAAAGUUUUAAGAUGUCGAGAUGAGGUGUUUUAAUUUCGUAGUUUGCUUUAGGUGUGUUAAUAAAAUAAAGUGUCAUAGCUACGGGUACGGUUCCCGUGACGAAGUUGUUACGCACAAUUUCCAAACCGGGGUAUGCAUUUCAUGUGACCCGUCUUCAAUUUCCAACAAGGCUAAAUAGAACGUGUCGUGAACCACGGGCACAUUUCAUGUAGCGUGGCUUACGAUGUAUUUUAAAUAACCUUGAAUUUUUCUGAAAUAAUAAAAGCGGUUUAAAAGUUAAAAAAUGCACAUAGGUUUCAAAGAUGUUUUAAAAUCAAAUAAAUAGGCCAAUAAUAACAGUUGAGCAACCGUGCUAGAACCACGGAACCCGGGAAUGCCUAACACCUUCUCCCGGGUUAACAAAAUUACUUACCCUGAUUUCUGUGUUCGCGGACUAUAAGACAGAGUCAAUCUUUCCUCAAUUCGGGAUUUAAAACCGGUGACUUGGGACACAAUAAAUUAUAUCAAGUGGUGACUCUGAAUUUUAAAUAAAAUAAUCCCGUUUCGAUUGUCACUUAAAUUAGAAAAAACUCCCUUAUAUCCUCUCGGGUGUGUAGAAAGGAGGUGGACAGCUCUGGCGACUCUACUGGGAUUAGAACUCAAAACUUCUGGUUCAGGGCUCAGAAUUCGAGCUUAGAAUAGUUGUUAUAUUUGGCUUUUAUUUAUUAUCUGGUUUUAAUUACGUGUUUGGGCCUAAUGUGCUAAAUGUUGUUUUUUACCGCUUUGAUAUUAUAUGAACUGUAUAUAAACUGCUACGCAACCCUUCUCUUCUCAUUUCGGGGAUGUGCACACUGGCGUGACUCCUCUUCUGUUAGUGUCAUACCUUAAAUUAGGAAGAGGCUCGGACAAGUUACAAAGUCUGAUGGCCUUUUGGUUCCUGGUACGUAGCCCCCCCUUCGGCUCGAGUUGUCCGCUCGGGUACACAAGUCUACAACAACAUACCCAGAUUUUGAACUUAGAAUAACUCAGCCUCAUGCCGGAUCCCUAGUAGGAAUGUUUAUUUGCAUCAUGUGCAUUUGACUUUGGGGACUCAACACAGGGGUUGAGUCCAUCUAGGACAGGUGUAUCCAAAAUAAUAGACCAUCUUGAUGCAUCCUAUGUACUACAUAUUGCAUUUCUCCAAGGGUAAAAGGGUCAUUUGGCAGACCAAUGAUAAUUGAGGGCGAGUGAAAAAAAAAAAAAGAGGGUGAAGUGUGAGAAUAAAGCAAGUAGGGCCCAGUUAUGUUUUAUGUCACACUUUUGUUAAGAAAAAGACAAAAAAAAUAUGAAAAAUUCAAAAAGAUUUUGUACUUUUUUUUAUCAUUUCCCGAAAAUCAGAAAAUCAAAAAAAAGGAAAAAGGAAAAAAAUCCAAAAAGAGUUUACAUGUUUCAUCAUUUUUUUUAAAAAAAGGACAAAAAAAUAUUUUUUCUAAAUUAGUUGCCUUUUUAAAUCUUGUCUGUAUCCGAUCUGCCCGAACUACGCGAACCUGAUUCUCAUCUCUCGGGGCGGGAUACGUAGGCAACUCACAUAGGGUCCGGCCUUCCUAGUAAAUCUUAGGUUCUUGGCUUUACGGGGUCUUAGCCAGAUUUUGCACUUCUAGCCACCUUUUGGCCAAAUAAGCCAUUUUACAAAAAUAAUCACAAUUAUGUCUUGCAUGUGUCCAACAGGAAGGGUUAUUGUCUCACAUAGCGUUCCAGGUCUUUAACUUUAUUUGGUCUUAAUUUUCUCAUAGGUAUGGAUCUACUUACCGAAGUUUGAGCAUGACAGAGCCCAGGACCAUUUAGUCAGGAUCGCUCAUUUAGGAGUGGAUUAAUAGGAGAUAUUCUUUUCUUUUUUAUGUUUUGAGUUUUUCUUUUUAUGUCGUCUUUUACUUUCUAGUAUUGUACAAUAAUGUCGAGUUUUUUGUUAUUGUAUUUCCUAUUUUGUAUUGGAAAAAAAGUUGCGUUAUAAAUCAAAAAUCCAAAAUAAAAAGAGAUUUUGCUUUUAUAUUUUCGUUAAAGUUUUCUUUAGAAUACUAAUUCUAGAAAUGAAAAAAAAUCCUUUGAGGUGGUUUUCCUUUAGAAAUAAAAAUUACUUUUAUAUUUCCUUUAGUAAAUUAAGACUAAAAAUUCAAAAAAAAAAAAGAGAGAAUUUUCUUUUAGUGCCUCUUUAAAAAGUUUUCUUUAAGAUUUUAAUUCCAAAAAAUCCAAAAAAAAAAAAUUCUUUUGAGGUUCUUCGUUGGGAAAUUACAGAAAAAAAUUCUUUUUAUUUUACUAGAACUUUAGGACAUUGUACAUAGAAGAAAAAAAAAACAUACUUUAGUUUUGGUUUAUCUUCAGAGUUUCUCCCUUAGGCAAUCAAAACUGAAAUCUGAAAGUUUUUUUUUUUUAUCUUUUUCAUUUCUUUGGUCGAAAUCUUUCUUUCAGGAUAUCAAACGAAAAUAUUUUUCUUUGGUUCAUCCUUUAUAUUUCCUCCCUAAAAAAAAUCAAAAAAUAUUUUUCUCUUCUAGGGGUUUUUCCUUAAUAAUUUCUCAUCAGAGUAUUCAUCAAGGUAAAAAAGAGAAAAAGAAAAAAAAGAAAUUGAGAACGUUAGUUUGUUUACUUUAUUUUUGAUCUUCCCGAACUACGCAAAGAUCUGAUUCAUGCGGUGUCAUGGUACGUAGGCAACCUACAAAGGGUUCGAUCGAAUCAUUUUUUUUAUUAAAAGAAAAAAAAGAGGUGAAAUUAUGGGAUGUGAGAAAUGAGAGGAAAGAAAAUAGUGAUAACUAGAAGAAAAAAAGAGGAAGGAAAAUAAGCAAGCCAAGAAGUGCUAGAAAAGAAAAUAGAAGAGAAGAUUGAAAUGAACAAAAUUGGGAUGAUACCAAGUGACCUUGUGACCCACGAAAUCUUUCUAGAACCGUUAAUUGUUGCUAGGUGCAUUGCACACGAUGUGAUAUUUUUAGCUGUUAAAUGCCCUAAUGCUAACAAGAUGACCCCAUUUUGUUCCUUUUGUUAUUUUCAUUGAGCAGAAGGGUGGUUGGUUUGUGGUUUUAAGUAACACAUCCAUAUAACACAAGGUAAAAGAGCAAGGUAGCCAUGGCUAGCAAAGACUUGGACACAUGGGUUGUUGACCCGCUUAAGGGAAUUGUUGAAUCAAAAUCUGAGUUGAGAGAAGAGGUCUUAAGGUUGAAAAGACAGAUGUCCGAAAUAUACCAAGCCUGGAUUAGUGGGCGCCCUCCACCAUCAAUUCCUACUAACUACACUGAAAGCCUUGUCACCAUUCCGCCAAUGUCACAAGUCCAGGAUAUCUCCCUACAACCUUUUCACACUCCACCCGCCAAAACUAUAUCAUAUCCCGCUCCUUUGACCACUCAUAUUUUUGUAGCACAUCCACCUGCUACCUCUUCUCGAUCCUCUAGCGAGACUGUUUUCAAAAUCUGUGAUGCCCAAUACUGUGCUUCAGAACCAACUUUCAAGGUCUCGGUUCCAUACUCUCACGCUCCUCAAUUUGAGCCUCCCGGUGAGAUUGCAAAGUCUGCUAAGACAGUGGAGCAAGAUGAGAUAGCCAGAAAGCUGAAAGGUUUUAAAAUGCCAGAGCUAAAUUUAUAUGAUGGACGUGGAGAUCCAGUAGCCCAUCUGAGAGGUUACUGCAGUGAAAUGAGAAGUGUUGGCGGGAAAGAUGAUUUGUUGAUGGCGUAUUUUAGUGAGAGCUUGACUGGGGCAGCUUUGGAAUGGAACACUCGUCAAGAUGUCAUGUCAAUAAGUGGCAUGCAUGAGGUGACAUAGCUCAAGAUUUUGUUCGACACUUUUAGUACAAUCUAGAUAUUAUCCCACACCGCUCCUCCCUAUCUUAGAUGGAAAAGAAACCUGAGGGAAGUUUUGGGGAGUUUUGGCUCAGAUGGAACAAGUUGCUCGGGUCAGUCCUCUGAUUGAUAGAAAAGAUGUUGUUGAGCCCCGCCAACGACGGGAUCCAAUGGGCAUUCCUGCUAAACGCUUUCAGCCUCAAUAUCGACCCCAUGGAUAUCCUCGCGCUCCAAAUAUUUCUCCCCAAUGCUACUUCUCUCCAUAAAAUCCCCAAAGUCAUACCUCACCUUCCCAGUACCCUAUCCGCAAUGCACCACCAUAUGCUCCACACCCACGAGGCCCGCGAUGGCCUGCACCACUUCCAUAAAUGUCUUACCCGCCUCCUCAAGCAUAUCAACCACCUACCCGCAAAAGGUUUCAACUGAGGCUAGAGUACAAAAUGAGAAGGCAGCAGCAAAGGAAAAAGUCUUUCUCUCCUAUUGGAGAAUCAUAUGCCAGUUUGUUCCAAAGGCUGAUGCAAUUGGACAUGUUGAAACCGAUUCAGAUAAAAGUGUCAAACCCUCUUCCAAAGAAUUUUGAUUUUUCUCAAAGGUGCGCAUAUUGCUCUAAUGCCCCGGGGCAUGACAUAGAAAAGUGUUGGCAUCUGAAAGGAGCAGUCCAGAAGCUUAUUGAUGCAGGUGACAUUACCGUGCAAAAUCCAAAUGCAGCAGAUACUAGCCAAAGUCCAUUACCUGUUCAAAAUAAGACGCAUAUGGUGGACAUGAUUUGUGUGGAAAAGGAAUAUGAGAACUCUUCUGGGAUCCUUGGAGGGCCACUUGCCACAAAGCUUUCAGUGCUAUCACUCUUGGUUCCGGAAGUUGAUCCUAAGAAUGAGCUGGCCAAAGAGACCUAAAAGCAAUUUGCUAAGGACAAUGCGAUGAAGACUUGUGAAGGUUCUAGUAAUGUUGAUGUGGAACCCAGUAGCUAGGAUAUCGAGCUUGGUGAUUGGGAGGAUGCUCCUUUCUUGGCUAGCUAGGGAGGAGUCUUGGUGGUUUAUUUUGUUGUUAUUUCUGUUGUUCGGGUUAUUUCAGGGUUGUAAUCCGAAUAUUGUCUUGUGCCUCAAACCCUUCUAUCCUUUUAAUUUUGCCUAGUUCCUUUAGUUGUAGUAACUCAUUUAGUAUUAUCUAGGUUUGUUCCAGGGCUGUACCCCAGUUUAUUUUACUUGUUUUGUUGUUCAAACCUUUUUACCAUCUGUAUAAUGCAAUUUCCUAUUUUCUGUUAUUUCUAGUUAGUGUUUGUUAGUUCUCUUUCCCUUUUAUAGUUCUUUUCCUACUAAUUCUAGUGACAUAAAAUACACGCAUAAUUCUCAGCCUGGUCUUAAAAGUUAGUUUAAUCAGGAAACAAUGAAACAAUUUUGAAGAUGAUAGGGACACUUGAGGGAAAUAAGUACAGAUUUGGAUAUUUUGAGAUCAUUUGAAGCCCGAACCAUAUGAAACUGGGGCAGAUAAUUUGGAAAGUUAAUAGGGUGACAAGAAUUCGUUAAAGGAGAGUGCAUCCCGGACGAUUUAAAGCAAGCAACUUUGAGUUCAAAUGCAUCUCAAGUUACAAAAUAAAGGAAGUUUUCUCCGAAUUGACGUAAGAUAUCCACUGUGAAAAAGGAAUCACCCAACGAGGGUUCUGUACUUGACAAGGCACUAAGAAAAGUGGAAGUCAUAUCGGUAAUAUCAAUGCCGAAGCCUCAAAAGAAAUAUUGUGCAUGAUCUUCAAUUUUCAUUUCAAGUUGUAUGUGUUGUACUUGGCAUUUUCAGGGAUUGGGAGACCCUCUUUCAGCUAUCCAAAUACUUUAAACCCUUUGGUACCCCUUUUCGAGCAUGUACUAAUUUCUUUGACCUCCCUUCUUUUGAAAUCAAGUUAGAGUCAUACGAAAAAAGAAAAAAAAAGUUUAUGUCCCCAUAGGUUUAUUUUAAAAGGUUCAUUCCAAAAGAAAUUUUUUUUUUAAAAAAAGAGAAAAAUAGAGAUAAAGAAAAAAAGAAAAAAGGAAAAAGAAGGAAAAAGGAAAAGAAAAGAAAAAGCAGAAAGGAAAAAGAAAAGGAAAAUAGUAACAAAAAGUAGUCGUGUGAACUACGGUUGACCUUAUUCUUGUCACCACAAGAUACGUAGGCAGCCUUACGGUUCGGUCAUACUAAAUAAAAUAUUUCAUAAUCCCACGAAGUUGAGAGUGGGACAGUCUUUCUUAGUAAAAAGAAAAGAAAAAAGAGAAUCAAAUUCCCUUGUUUUAGAAAUUNNNNNNNNNNNNNNNNNNNNNNNNNGUUUUUACUAUGGUUAAUGCCCUUAGUCANCUACAGAAUCAGUGGAAAGAAGAAGAAAAGAAAAAAAUGAGAGAGUCUUAUCGGUGAAAACCUUCACAGGCACCAUAAGGUGACGGUAAGUUGAGAGAGAGAAAAUGAGAGAGGCUUGAUGGUGAAAACCCUUCGGGCACUACAAGUCGAAUAAGGAUUGUGAAUCAUAUUAGAUAAUCGAAGCAUUGAAGCCCAGUUUCACGGUUUAGGGGUAUAACAAGAGUUGAACAUCAGACUUGUUUGACAGAUUAGGCCACUUAAUCCGAAGGUGCAUGUCAUGGUCAUUAGAGUUGGUAUCCACAUCUGAUAAGUUUCUACUUUGUAGUUUUCUUGUUAGGAAUCAUCUCUUUUUAUUGUCCUUUACUCUGUUCCUUUUGUCUUGUUUACUUCCUCUUCAUGAGUCUGUUUGGUCAGAACAAGUGAGAAAUGACUUCAAAAUUGGCCACCAGUUUUCCAAUUGCACAAAACGGGAUCUGGCUAGCACAUCAAAAUGGCAUGUCAGGAAAGAAUAACAGGCGCACUGAGUUGGUAACAAUCAACAUAUGUUGGGAUUCAUGUGAAAUAUAAAGGUUCGGUAUAUGUCAAUUUAUGAACAAUGCAAUAGAUAGAGGGUGUUGGGUUUGGAUGGAUCAAAAGUAUUUUCUGUGAUAAUGUUGACAGAGAAAGUGGUUAACCAACAACAAGCAAGGUCUUUCAAAUGGAAAUCAAAGUUAUCAUGGCAAGUGAAGGAAUAAUAGACCUCAAGGCCAAGGCCAGUGUCCUACGUCAGAAAAGAAUAGCAAGCGCACUGAGUUGGUAAAAAUCAACGUGUUUUGGGAUUCAUGUGAAAUACAAAGUUUCGGAAAAUGUCAAUUCAUGAGCAAAAUGCAACAGAUAGAGGAUGUUGGGUUUGAACGGAUCAGAGGUAUUUUCUAUGAUAAGGGUGACAGAGAAAGUGGUCAGUCAACAAACAGGCAAGGUCUUUCGAGUUGAAAUCGAAGUUAUCAUGGGAAGUGAAGGAGCAAUCUCCCUCAAAGUCCAGGCCGCAAACCAACCACCAUGCUUAAAAUCACAAGUUUUAUUUGAUUGAAACAGGGGCAGGAAAUUUUGUUUGUUCUGGAGAGACCCUUCGUGAGGAAAGCAGGUGCUAGACAGGUUCGACCAUAAAUUCUCAGGACCCUCUUGGACAAUGGGACUUAGUUAAAAUUCAAAACAUUCAUGAGUAACAAGAUCUAGCAUAGGCUCUACCUUGAGGAAAUAUAAGUUGUCCUUGAAGUUUUCAUGCUUAGAAUGAGAUUCAAUUUGAAAUUUUCAGGACUCUCAUGAAUAAUGGGACUUAGCUUUAAGACCUCCAUCAGAUAACAAAAUUUAAAGUAAAUUCUGCCGUAGGAAAAUAUAAUUUAGGCUUAAAGUUGUUACUCUUAAGAUGAGAUUUGAUUUUAAUUUUCAUGACCCUCCUGGCUAAUGAGAUUUAGUUCAAGAUCAUCACAGAUAACAAGAUUUAGCAGAAGUCGUACCUUUAGGAAAUAUCAUUUAGCUUUAAAACUGUCAGUUGACUAGGGAUUUUCAGGCCCCUCUUGGAUAGUGGGAUCUACCUUUCAAAUUCUUAGAGAUAUUUGGUAACAUGACUCAAUUAACACUCAGAGAUGUGCCUAGCUACCAAAUUGGGGCAGAAAAUUUUCUUUGUUUUGUCUAUUCUAUUGUAAUCAGGCACCCACCUAGAGAACAAAGGGAAGCAGUUCAAGUUUCGAGGAGAAGUAGUUCAAGUGUUGAAAAUGAUGAGCCCACCUGGAGAACAAAGGGAAAACAAUUCAAGUGUUGUUAAUCAGGAGCCCACCUGGAGAACAAAGGGAAAUCAAUUCAAGUGUUAGUAAUCAGGAGCCCACCUGGAGAACAAAGGGAGAGUAGUUAAAGUUUUGGUAAUCAAGAGCCCACCUGGAGAACAAAGGGAAAGAAGUUCAAGUUUUGGAAAUCAGGAUCCCACCUGGAGAACAAAGGAAAAGCAGUUAAAGUUUUGGUAAUCUGGAGUCCACCUGGAAAAUAAAGGGAAAGCAAGNNNNNNNNNNNNNNNNNNNNNNNNNNNNNNNNNNNNNNNNNNNNNNNNNNNNNNNNNNNNNNNNNNNNNNNNNNNNNNNNNNNNNNNNNNNNNNNNNNNNNNNNNNNNNNNNNNNNNNNNNNNNNNNNNNNNNNNNNNNNNNNNNNNNNNNNNNNNNNNNNNNNNNNNNNNNNNNNNNNNNNNNNNNNNNNNNNNNNNNNNNNNNNNNNNNNNNNNNNNNNNNNNNNNNNNNNNNNNNNNNNNNNNNNNNNNNNNNNNNNNNNNNNNNNNNNNNNNNNNNNNNNNNNNNNNNNNNNNNNNNNNNNNNNNNNNNNNNNNNNNNNNNNNNNNNNNNNNNNNNNNNNNNNNNNNNNNNNNNNNNNNNNNNNNNNNNNNNNGAAAACAAUUCAAGUGUUGGUAAUCAGGAGCCCACCUGGAGAACAAAGGAAAAUUAAUUCAAGUGUUGGUAAUCAUGAGCCCACCUGGAGAACAAAGGGAAAACAACUCAAGUGUUGGUAAUCAGGAGCCCACCUAGAGAACAAAGGGAAAUCAACUCAAGUGUUGGUAAUCAGGAGCACACCUGAAGAACAAAGGGAAAGCAACUCAAGUGUUGGUAAUCAGGAGCCCACCUGGAGAACAAAGGGAAAACAAUUCAAAUGUUGGUAAUCUGGAGCCCACCUGGAGAACAAAGGAAAGACAAUUCAAGUGUUGGUAAUCAAGAGCCUACCUGGAGAACAAAGGGAAAACAAUUCAAGUGUUUGUAAUUAGGAACCCACCUGGAGAACAAAGGGGAAAAACAAUUCAAGUGUUGGUAAUCAGGAACCCACUUGGAGAACAAAGGGAAAGCAAUUCAAAUGUUGAUAAUCAGGAGCCCACCUGGAGAACAAAGGGAAAGCAGUUCAAGUUUUGAAAAUCAGGCGCCCACCUGGAGAACAAAGGGAAGUAGUUCAAGUUUCGAGGAAAGGAAGACAGUUCAAGUGUUGACAAUCAGGAGCCCUCCUGGAGAACAAAAGGAAACAGUUCAAGUCUCUAGGAAAAAUAGUGCAAAUGUUGGUAAUUAGGCACCCACCUGGAGAACAAAGGGAAAGCAGCAAUGUUCAAAGGAAGGCGGUUCAAGUUCAGCAAUCAGGUGUCCACCUGGAGAACAAGGGAAAACAUAAGUUUCGAGGAAAAACAAUGCAAGUAUUGGCCAUCAGGCGCCUACCUAGAGAAUAAGGGAAUUCACUUCAAAAUGCAAAUCAAGUCAGCAACAAAAGAAGCUCGUGGAAAUAAUGCGAGUCAACAGUUCGAGGUGAUCAACAGAGGUUAGGCACAAUCCAGAAUAAAAAAAAAAGAAAGAAAAGAAAAAAAAGGAAGUGAAUCCAAAUACAGAAGCAGACGAAAUAUGUGAAUUGUUCAAGUCAUGGUUGAAGUCACAGGCACUACAUGUCCGGUCUUGAUUCGGAAAGCUAAAGAAGAACGAGCUAGCACCUGCAGCUAACAAGUGCCAAAGUUCGAAUCUAAAGUCCACAUGAAGAACCAUUCAAGACUCAAGAUCAAGCUUCAGAAGACUUAUAGAUAGGAAUCUUGUAACUCGUAGUUGACAGGCUUAGCUAGUCUUUUUCAUUUUUUGAUUUUUGGUGUAAUAACAGGACCGCCGACCAGAACCUUGGUGGAACGGCACCUCGACCGGCUCUCCACUUAGGUAUACUCCAUCAUCUCACUCACUUAUGAACUACACGUGGCCUGAUUCCUUUAUGGCCAAGGAUAUAUAGGCAGCUCAGAUACCAGGGCUCGGUCACAUUCUCCUUCCUCUUAGUGUUGGUCUCUUUAAAUAAGGGUUGGGUCAAAAAAUCUGUCUAGUUGUUCUUUGUCUGAAAAUACUUCGUAUUUCCAGUCAAAUAGGGGCAGCAGACAUAUGAUUUUUGACCCUCCCCAAGAUUUUUUAUAUUUUAGCAUGUAAAUAUUUAGUUUAGGCCUAAUAUCGUUAUAUCAACUAAUUUUGACUCUUUUACUUAUUUUAUUACAAAAAUAUAAUUGUUUGUAGCCAUUUUAAUCUUGAAAAAAAUACCAAAAAGGAAAUAAUUUCAUUUAUGGUUUAUCUCUAAUAGUUUAUUUUAAUUAAUUAGGAGUAGUCUUACAUUUUUAUAAAUGCUUUAUACUAUUUUAAAUAAGGAAAACUUAGGGCCUUAGUUAAUGAAAUCCAGAUCUUCUAAGAAGCCCAAUUGUUAGUUAAUUUAAGACAAUUUUAGCUCAAUUUUGGGCAGGAAAAUGGCCCAAUUUCGGACUAGUCCUUGAGCCCAAAUCUCCAUUUCCCCAAAAUUAACCCUUAACCUAAUACCCCUACCCUUUAAUUAAACCCUAGACAUCUACAUAUAAGGACCUAGCAGCUGAAAAUAAAGGGAGGAGAUAUAGACCUACGCCUAAAAAAAAGAUACAGAAAAGCAUCCGCCGUUUUUCCAGGGAGCUUGGACGCAAACAGAUCUAGAAAAAAAAGAAGUUGCUGCUUCUUCUUCUUAAAAACAAAAAAUAGACCUAAUACUAAGGAGCUUCAGCCGCUAGAACACUAAGGAAGCCCACCCCCACAUAGCUUCUCCAUCGUCUUCUUCAUGGAGACAACAAGAAAACUCCAUU